CAGCCAGCAAGUGGGACCUGCAGACAGGCUGUGAAUCACAAGCAAGACAAGAGAUGCUGACAGUGCCCAGCAGCACACCUCAAGCUCGCCUGCAUGUGGAGUGCCAGAUCCCAAGUGCUGCGGAGCCGUUGUGACAUUUAAUAAAAAUAAUUCAAGAAAAUUUAGAGACAUGAAAACAGGUUAUAAAGGACCACAGCAUUCAGCAAGAGCAGACUGUAGGGAAUAUCUACAAGCCUGAGAAACUACAGAUUAAAGAAGACAUAAGGGAUACACUGGUCAGCCAGGCUGGAAAGACCAUGUGGUUUCUGACUGUAACAAGCAAAAGGAAGAAGGGAAGGUCUAUGAGGACUU